ACAUGCAAGUCGAACGCGAAAGAGUUCUUCGGAACUUGAGUAGAGUGGCGCACGGGUGAGUAACGCGUAAGUGAUCUACCCCUGUAUCUGGAAUAACCAUGGGAAACUGUGGCUAAUACCGGAUACGUUCAUGUGAUUGCGGUCAUGUGAAGAAAGAUGGCCUCUGACUUAAGCUAUCGUACAGGGAGGAGCUUGCGUACCAUUAGCUAGUUGGCAGGGUAAAGGCCUACCAAGGCGACGAUGGUUAGCGGGUCUGAGAGGAUGAUCCGCCACACUGGAACUGAAACACGGACCAGACUCCUACGGGAGGCAGCAGUGAGGAAUAUUGCGCAAUGGGGGCAACCCUGACGCAGCGACGCCGCGUGGAUGAUGAAGGCCUUCGGGUCGUAAAAUCCUGUCGGAUGGGAAGAAGUGUAAUGUGGUUAAUACCCAUGUUAUUUGACGGUACCAUCAAAGGAAGCACCGGCUAACUCCGUGCCAGCAGCCGCGGUAAUACGGAGGGUGCAAGCGUUGUUCGGAAUUACUGGGCGUAAAGCGCGCGUAGGCGGUUUGUUAAGUCAGAUGUGAAAGCCCAGGGCUUAACCCUGGACGUGCAUUUGAAACUGUCAGACUUGAGUAUUGGAGGGGGUGGUGGAAUUCCCGGUGUAGAGGUGAAAUUCGUAGAUAUCGGGAGGAAUACCGGUGGCGAAGGCGACCACCUGGCCAAAUACUGACGCUGAGGUGCGAAGGCGUGNGGAGCAAACAGGAUUAGAUACCCUGGUAGUCCACGCGGUAAACGAUGAGAACUANGUGUUGGGACGGUUGAUCGUCUCAUUGCCGCAGCUAACGCAUUAAGUU
rnacentral:rRNA from 1 species